AAAAAAUCUAAAAAAGGUAAAGGAAUUCACAUUUUUUUUAAUAGAGUUGCUUACAAUUUCUAAGCAACUAGGGCAACUAAAGAAAUAACUCAAAAUAGAUUCACUUUUUAGACUUGAUUGUCAAAAUGCCCCAUUUGAUUACGUUGCUUUUUGUUGGGAGUUAUAGGACAAAUAUUGCAAGAAGGGAAUUAAAGUUUAAAGCUAAGCCUGUACAAAAUUUGCUCAGCUGACACCAUAACUUUAAUAACAUGCAUGUAACCACAAACUGCUAAGCAAAAGUGUGGGUGAGUAUUUAACAAUGAGCAUUUUGACACAUUUUAUUUAACUAUUUUAUUACUACUCUCUGGCAAUUUUUUCCUCAC